GAUGAACGCUAGCGGCAGGCCUAAUACAUGCAAGUCGAACGGGCGGUAGCAAUACCGCUAGUGGCGCACGGGUGCGUAACGCGUAACCAACCUGCCCAGAUCUGGGGGAUAGCCCGCCGAAAGGCGGAUUAAUACCGCAUAAACCCACAGUGUGGCAUCACAUAAUGGGUAAAGAUUUAUCGGAUCUGGAUGGGGUUGCGUAGCAUUAGCUAGUUGGCGGGGUAAUGGCCCACCAAGGCGACGAUGCUUAGGGGACCUGAGAGGGUGAUCCCCCACACUGGCACUGGGAUACGGGCCAGACUCCUACGGGAGGCAGCAGUAGGGAAUAUUGGGCAAUGGGCGAGAGCCUGACCCAGCCAUGCCGCGUGCCGGAUGAAGGCCUUCUGGGUUGUAAACGGCUUUUCUCAGGGAAGAAAACGGGGAUGCGUCCUCAACUGACGGUACCUGAGGAAUAAGCACCGGCUAACUCCGUG
rnacentral:rRNA from 1 species